GACGGAGGAUGCAAGCGUUAUCCGGAAUGAUUGGGCGUAAAGCGUCCGCAGGUGGCAGUUCAAGUCUGCUGUCAAAGACCGGGGCUUAACUUCGGAAAGGCAGUGGAAACUGAACAGCUAGAGUAUGGUAGGGGCAGAGGGAAUUCCUGGUGUAGCGGUGAAAUGCGUAGAUAUCAAGUGGAACACCAGUGGCGAAGGCGAGUCCCUGGACACUUCCUGACACUGAGGCACGAAAGCUAGGGGAGCAAACAGG
rnacentral:rRNA from 1 species